GAUCAUGGCUCAGAUUGAACGCUGGCGGCAGGCCUAACACAUGCAAGUCGGGCGGAUGAAGAGAGCUUGCUCUUUGAUUCAGCGGCGGACGGGUGAGUAAUGCCUAGGAAUCUGCCUAAUAGUGGGGGACAACGUUUCGAAAGGGGCGCUAAUACCGCAUACGUCCUACGGGAGAAAGCAGGGGACCUUCGGGCCGUUGCGCUAUCAGAUGAGCCUAGGUCGGAUUAGCUAGUUGGUGAGG
rnacentral:rRNA from 1 species